rnacentral:rRNA from 1 species
GAUGAACGCUGGCUACAGGCUUAACACAUGCAAGUCGAGGGGAAACGGCAUUGAGUGCUUGCACUGAACGGACGUCGACCGGCGCACGGGUGAGUAACGCGUAUCCAACCUUCCCGUUACUGCGGGAUAACCUGCCGAAAGGCAGACUAAUACCGCAUGUUCUUCGAUGACGGCAUCAGAUUCGAAGCAAAGAUCCGUCGGUAACGGAGGGGGAUGCGUCUGAUUAGCUAGUUGGCGGGGCGACGGCCCACCAAGGCGACGAUCAGUAGGGGUUCUGAGAGGAAGGUCCCCCACAUUGGAACUGAGACACGGUCCAAACUCCUACGGGAGGCAGCAGUGAGGAAUAUUGGUCAAUGGGCGGAAGCCUGAACCAGCCAAGUAGCGUGCAGGAUGACGGCCCUACGGGUUGUAAACUGCUUUUAUGCGGGGAUAAAGUGAGGGACGCGUCCCUUUUUGCAGGUACCGCAUGAAUAAGGACCGGCUAAUUCCGUG